UUCCAACCUGCAGAAGGAGAAAAGCGACCAAGCAGUGUGGUCACCGACCCCGGCAUAGCCUCGGGGGAAUAGGAGGGUCUAGUGGACACAUUUCCCAGGGUCUACUCAUUUCCCAGGCCGGACAGCCAAGAUAAUGACUGAAACAAAAUACAGAGUGUUCAAGUUCAAGACACUUCGGUCUAGGGGAGGGACAAAGGCAGAUGGGAGGAAAAUUCCUAAGAUGCUUUCCAGACAAGACAAUGAAUGCCGGGUGUGGAAAGCCCCAAGGGAGGGUCUCUGAAAAGGUGGCCCUCAGGGGGACAAAGAAGUGCCAGGAACAGAGGCAUGGCUACAGUGAACGGAAGGAGAGCAAGUGGAGAACUGAACCCUCAUGGCCAGUGGGAGGAACUGACCUUUCUUCUCUGUAGAGUGGGAGGCCCUGUGUAGCCCUGCUCAGGUCCCAGCCAAUCCUGACUCAGCCACCCACCAGGACAAACUCCCUAUGCCCUUGCCUCUGAGGCCAGUUCCACCCCUUGCCCCAAGGAAGUUUUUGCUAGGGUUUAGCACAAGUCCCUGCUGCUGUGGCAGAGGCCUGAGCCCUGGGGGAAGACCCUGGACAGGCUGGUGAUGGGGAGGGGCCUUACGGUGAACAUGAGCUGGCAGCCUCCCAGAAUAUAAUCCAGGAAUGAGUAGUUUCGGUGUAUCUGGAAGAAACGCCUCCUCGAGGUUCAGCCAGAGGCCUGGUGUUUCCAACUGAGAAACGAGGAAAGCCCCAUAGCAAGGCAAGGUUCCUGUGCUCUAGAGACCCCGAGCCUUGGGUACAGCAGCAGCAGCAGCAGCAGCAGCGGCAGCAGGCAGCUCCAAGAACACCAUGCCUUUAGUAAGCCCAGGUCCAAGGGCUUUUGAACGAGACCACAAGCCUAAAAGUGCGAUCCAGGCCAAUGGUAUGGCUUGGCAGACGACAGGAUGUGCCUACUGUCCCUUGUCCCAGAAGAAGGAACCUGAGCUUAGAGUAGGACUACUGACAUUCCUGGGGUUGCCCUGCCGGCAUCAGUCUAAGGGUAAGGAGGCUGCCCUGAGAGUUGACCGUGAACUCUGACGGAGGUGGGGUGCUGCUAGGAGGUAUCUGCUAGGCUGCAGCAACAGCCCGGGGAAUCAUCUCGGCUAUUUGAGGCGUGCUAUAGACUUGGCUUCCCAGAACUUGGGGCAUGAGGAGAAAGGGUAGAAUUUGGAGGCAGGGAAGCAAAGCAGGUCCUCGUAGCUUGAAGGAGAGACCACAAGGCAGUGGGGAGCCAUGGAAGAAGGCGAGAGUGCACAGAAGUAUGAGGAGCCCUCAGCAGCGCAUCCCAGGUUCUACGGGCAAUCUUUUUGCUCAAUUUCUCUCAUCUACGAGAUGGGGUUUGCCCUGCCUUCUAGGCCUCUGAGGACCAAAUUGCCUAUCCACAGGAAGAACCUGCACUUCGCUGGAUUCACUGCAAGGUGCAGGGGGAACCAUUACAGUUGGCGGAAUCAUUGUGCCAAGACAUCCCAUGACAGGGACUUCUUAAUUACAUAACAGGGACGGACGUGGAACUUGUGAUUGAUCCUCCUGCCUCAGUGUUGGAAUUACAGAUAUAUACUACCAUGCCUGGUUUAAGUAAUACUUUAAAUACAUCUAAAAAAAAGGUUUAAUUGUAAAAAAUGGUGCCAGUUUUCUAAGUGAUCUUCCACCACCAGCCCUCGUCCCAUGGACCCUGGCAUUCCCUAGAUCCAAGAAGAGCAUGUCCACAGCCCAGCCAGGCCUUGCCCAUCAUAGACACUGGUGUCUAGCCUCACCUCCAUCCACCUGCCGUUGUCCUCUAUAAAGAGGACACAGAAAGGG